AUCUGAACGCCAUCAGGAAGAAACACAUCUUGUUCCUUACGUUUCCAAGGAGGAGAGCGAAUCUGAACGCCACUUCCAGCUUCACACUACCGUUUCAACUCACUUUUCCCAGGAGAGGAGGAACGAGUUAGCUGCCUGGUGAAUUUGGAAGUAGGAAGUGAGUGUGAUGACUCAGUCCAUCUGGCUUUUCUCUCUGAUACCCUCCCUGUUUCCCUGAAUUUCUGGUCUGCUCUUAUUGCUGAAAUAAGUUAACAGGGACAGGCUCUGUCUCUGUGGGGCAGCCUGUGGUUGUCCAACUGUGCCCCUGACCAGGUCCUAUUUCUCAACAGGUUCCAAAUUGAGAACCUCUAUCCCCGCCCGGGAAAGUCCCAUCACAGCCGUGAAUAAGAUGGAACAGAAGUGAAAACAUCUGAAUUUGGGAUCAGUGACCCGAACCAGAGGGUGAAACUGCCGUGUGUAUGGAGGCUUGGGAUAUGCAAAGUGUAACUUAACCAAAACUAAGUAUCUCUGGGUUCCAAGUAACCAGCACAUACAAGCACACAGUAAGCACACAGCAUAUACUGAAGGAAUGAAUAAACGAAGAAUGGAAAGUUUUCUUCAUGGAAACAGUCUCCUGGUGUUCUCGUGGCCA